UCGGGAAUUUUGGACAAUGGGGGCAACCCUGAUCCAGCCAUGCCGCGUGAGUGAAGAAGGCCUUCGGGUUGUAAAGCUCUUUCGGCGGGGACGAAACGGUCCGUGACAACACCACGGACUAAUGACAGUACUCGCAGAAGAAGCACCGGCUAACUACGUGCCAGCAGCCGCGGUAAUACGUAGGGUGCAGGCGUUAAUCGGAAUUACUGGGCGUAAAGCGUGCGCAGGCGGCUCCUUAAGUCAGAUGUGAAAUCCCCGGGCUUAACCUGGGAACUGCGUUUGAAACUGAGGGGCUAGAGUGUGGAAGAGGGGGGUGGAAUUCCAGGUGUAGCAGUGAAAUGCGUAGAGAUCUGGAGGAACACCGAUGGCGAAGGCAGCCCCCUGGGCUAACACUGACGCUCAUGCACGAAAGCGUGGGGAGCAAACAGGAUUAGAUACCCCUGUAGUCCCUGAGCGGGCUGGCAAGGCGCAU
rnacentral:rRNA from 1 species